AUGGAUCUACUCGAGGCAAGCAAAGUAGUUCUUAGUAAAAAUGAAAGGCAAGAAGACAAUGACAAUGCCAAUGUUAUUGAGAUUAGCACUAAAGGUGUUCUGUCAGAUGUCAUAGACAAUCUUGAGGACAUGUUGGAGGAUGAACAUCCAACAAAAAAUAAUGUUGAACCAGAUGUCUCUCACAUAAAAGAAAAUCAUGAAGUUGCUAAUGUCCAGAAUAAAUUUGAAUGA